GACGAACGCUGGCGGCGUGCUUAACACAUGCAAGUCGAGCGGUAAGGCCCUUUCGGGGGUACACGAGCGGCGAACGGGUGAGUAACACGUGGGCGACCUACCCUCAGCUUCGGGAUAAGCCUGGGAAACUGGGUCUAAUACCGGAUAUGACCUUCCCUCGCAUGGGGGUUGGUGGAAAGUUUUUUCGGCUGGGGAUGGGCCCGCGGCCUAUCAGCUUGUUGGUGGGGUGAUGGCCUACCAAGGCGACGACGGGUAGCCGGCCUGAGAGGGCGACCGGCCACACUGGGACUGAGAUACGGCCCAGACUCCUACGGGAGGCAGCAGUGGGGAAUAUUGCGCAAUGGGCGGAAGCCUGACGCAGCGACGCCGCGUGGGGGAUGACGGCCUUGGUUGUAAC
rnacentral:rRNA from 1 species